UACGUAGGGGCCUAGCGUUGUCCGGAAUUAUUGGGCGUAAAGAGCUCGUAGGCGGUUCGGCAAGUCGGAUGUGAAAUCUCCACGCUUAACGUGGAGGGGCCAUUCGAAACUGCCGUGACUCGAGUCCGGUAGGGGAGUGUGGAAUUCCCGGUGUAGCGGUGAAAUGCGCAGAUAUCAGGAAGAACACCAAUGGCGAAGGCAGCUCUCUGGGACGGUACUGACGCUGAGACGCGAAAGCGUGGGGAGCGAACAGG
rnacentral:rRNA from 1 species